CCUACGGGUGGCAGCAGUGGGGGAUAUUGCACAAUGGAGGAAACCCUGAUGCAGCGACGCCGCGUGGGUGAAGACGCGCCUCGGCGCGUAAAGCCCUUUCAGCAGGGAAGAAAAUGACGGUACCUGAAGAAGAAGCCCCGUCUAACUACGUGACAGCACCAGCGGUAAUACGUAGGGGGCAAGCGUUAUCCGGAUUUACUGGGUGUAAAGGGGGCGCAGUCGGCGAUGCAAGCCAGGAGUGAAAGCCCGGGGCGCAACCCCGGGACUGCUACUGGAACUGCGUGGCUAGAGUGCAGGAGGGGCAGGCGGAAUGCAUGGUGUAGCGGUGAAAUGCGUAGAUAUCAGGAGGAACACCGGUGGCGAAGGCGGCCUGCUGGACUGCAACUGACGUUGAGGCACGAAAGCGUGGGGAGCAAACAGGAUUAGAUACCCGGGUAGUC
rnacentral:rRNA from 1 species